rnacentral:lncRNA from 1 species
CUGCUCUUCUCUUGUGUGAUUAUGGGAUGUUCUCCACACCAUCACCAUCUCCUUCAGGGAUCCCCACUAAUGCAAUAUCAACGAUAUCCGACUCUAACACUACUGUGACGACAGCUAAAUCCGUAACAGCCGGGAAUGGCUCGAGCACGUUAGAAUCUGGCUUAGGGAAAAAUCUGCCAAAUGAUUUAAAUGGUACGACUGAGAGCAGCAGAGACCAUUCUGUCACUGAAUCUCAAAGGGUUAAUGGAAGCACCAGCAGAGCGAUCGCUUCAACAGCAAGUCCAGAGAGCACCACACACAACGUGAAGCACCAUACUACUCAAGAAAAAAAAGUUUCAGAUUCAACAACGGUUACAGGAGGAUUGAAUACAGGAGAUAAAACAUACAAUAACAGGAGGUGUCAUCAUUUUGAUCAUCAUCCUGCUCCUGAUUUUUUCUCUGCUUGGCAUUUUGUACUAUCUGAGAAAGAAAGCAAGGAGUUACUCAUUUGA